GGCGCCGCGCGGCGGGUUGGAAGGGUGGACGUUGGGCGCCGCGCGGCCCACCCGCGACCUCACCGCCCUGACGCCCGGGCACGGCGGAGCAGCGCCGGGAAGGGGUGUCUGCGUAUCCUCGCUCCUUUAGCGGGGACCGAGCGGUUACUAUAUUUUUAAAGGCUGGAGGGACUCGUCUGUUCAAAAAAGGCAGACGGGUCUCCCUGCUGACGGACAUCGUUGCCUGGCUGGCGUUAGGACUGUUGUGCGAGCGGUGGCCUACAUAUUUGUAAAGGUUUUAGAACUACACAUCCAGAGUCCUUAAGGGAUUUAGUUAAUGCCAGCUUUUUCCUUUUAUGGAUUUCUGCAAGUUUGUCUCGUAUUUGAUUUGUCAUUUCAGGAAAGUAGGAUUAGAGAUCCGUAGCAGGCAGUACUAAGGGUCUGCAUUUUGGACUAAGUAUCCUGAGUUUAUUAGCUGGCUUGCUACAGGAAAAUGUCUGGCUGUAAUUUGUGGUAGUGAAAAUUGUCCUGAUGACAAGGGAGAAGUUUCUCUUUGCCUCCCAUGCUGCACUGUUAGGUUUCUUCAAAUAAUCUCAGGUUUGGACUUUUUUCUCCACUGAUGGCCUAGGUGCCUGAAUUAGCAUUAAUAUAUUUUAAGAGAAUUUUUUUGAUCCUACAUUUUCAUUUCCUGGACUGGAAUAUUUUCUGUCCUUUGCACCAGACACUCUUGUAGUAACCACACAGGUGAAAAUAAACAAGCUGCACCCACUGGAAUUAACUUACAUGCAAUCAGUGAAUCAAGUACCUUGGAGAAACACUUUUCAUAAAACAGUUAUUCCAGCUGUAUUUCAGACCUACCUGGUCCUCCAAGGGAACCUACAAAACACUUUUCCAAAGACAAACCUAUAAAACUCAUAAUCCUAGUGGAUACCUAAAACCAACAGCUUAGUAAAGAUGCUGGUUUUGUAGCUCAUUAUAAUCCCCAUGUCCCCACUAACCUCUCUCUCUCUCCAUUCCAAACACAGUUAACUACCUAUCUUUCUCUUUUUCUUUGCAAUAGGAAGGAUGUUUCUAGAGGAUCCCCUUGAAUCACCCUUCUCCCCUUUCCAAGUCACAUCCCCUCUAAUCUGCAGUGACAUAGCAAGCACACUCUGCCAUGCCAGGAGACCACAUCUCCUGAGUAAGGAGGAGGACACCUACCUCCCAGACCAACUGUGCCAACUUCUGCUUCUAUUGCUGUUUGCCCAUUUAAAGGAAACCUUUUGCGGUUUUGUAAAUGGAAAUCAAGCAUCCUAUGGAUGAAUAUUGGUUGCUCAGGAACUGAAGGGACACCUUACUUUAUUACUUCUACUUCACAGAAGAGGAUCACUUGUGCUACCCCUUUAUCUACCCACAGACCUCUUCCCUACACUCCAAACGAGUAGUGAAAUGGCUUAUUUUUAGAAAAGAACAAAAUAACUGAUACCAUUUUGUGGAGGUAACAGUGGCAAGAUAAAAUAUGCCUCAGUUUGCAAUAUAAAUAGUACCAAUGAAUAUAGAAAGGAAUAAAGACAGGCUAGUUACUGGGAAUGAGAAUAUAUUAACACCUUCCAAGGUGAAGACAUAAUUUGAAGGGACUAAUACAUUAAAGUUGGGGAACUGAAAUAAUUCCUGAACCAAAACCUUACAGCUGUCAAAAAAUUGCAAAUCCAAUGAGCAUUUUAAUUAAAUCAAAUGGAAUGGGCUAUCAUAUGAUUAGAGAGAAAAAAAUACAGCAGUUAAACCUAAGGGAAAAAGCAUGCUCAGGUUCAGUGGUCUGAAUUCAAGUGUUUGAAAUAUAAACGAAUAGGAAAAAAACGCAGUAAGGGUUAGCAGAGUUACGACAUGCUGGACUAAACCAAUACCUAAAAAAAUGAAUCAGUCAUUUCCUUGAUAAUGGGGCAAGGAAAUAAACUAGAUGUAAUCUGGAUUCAGUAAAUCAUCUGAGGUUGAAUAACUGUGAUAAGAAGAGAAUCUUAAAACAGAAACUUUCUAAAAGAAUGCCAUAUAACACUGCAAAAAUGAAACACUGGGGCUGGAAAAUAGUAACUAGUGAAGUUCCUCCAAAAAUUACGUCAAACAUUUUUUAACAAUGCUGCCAGGUAUAGGCGGCAUGUUUAGAUGAGAAAUGUGGAAGGCAACAAAAGCAGAACAGAGUAUCAUAUAAAGAAGUGAACAAUAUUGAAAAAUGACAUACUAGAAGCUAGAUGAAGUGAAAUCAUAUGAAAUGUAAGAGCCCUAAACGUAGGGAUGAAUGAGUUUCUUUUAUGUCAUCAGGACUUGGAAGUUUUAGCCAUCCUACGGUCAACUAUAAACUGAUGCAGCUCUGGAGGAAAAACAAACAAACAAACAAAUGCAAAUCAAGGACUCAGGAAAAUAUUAAUGCUGUUUCACUACAUCUGGGUGACAACUUGUCUGGAAUACCACAUACAAUUCAGGAAUAAGAAAUUCAAAUUCAAAGAAAUACCAAAAGGAGCUACUGACAUAACCAAGGAGGCUGCUGCAUGAAAGAAAAAAAUCAAGUCUUGUUUACUCAGCCUAGCAAAAUAAAGCUGGAGUGAAUAUAAACACGACAAUUUACUAUAAGGAUAAAUAUCAAAGAAGUGUGCCAACAUUACUCCUCAGUUUAAGUCCAACAAAUGAACAUAAACUAGCAAAUAAUAAAUCAAUACUGCUAUUCCAGAAUCCAAGUUUUGUCUAGAAAGUAAAACAAAACUUUAACAUUCUAAUGCUAAAAAUAAAAAAUGCAGAAAACCUACCUACUAUUAAGAAAAAAAGGUUUAUAUAUUUCAUUGUAUGAUGCAUUUGAUGUGUCAGCAAGAGACUGAGUUUGGUUUCACUCAGUUUCUAUUCUGACAUAACAAAGAAUGUAUAAUUUCAGAAAAAUAUAAAAAGAGAAUUAUGAAUAGUACCAGCAAGAUAGAUUUAAUCCUGACAGGAUACAGACAGUGGAGAGCAUGGAAAGAUCAUAGGGCUCAAUAUAAAAACAGAAGAGAGAAGGAAAGGAAGAGAACAGGAAAGCUGGGCAAACCAAGAAACCUAGAAAAGCAAUAAUAACCUGUUAGUAUCUCUUGGUUCCUCUUCUGGAUCAAGAAGUGUUGAAUUAUAAAGAUUAGCACACAUUGCAUUAAAAAUGAUUAUUUUGUGAAAAACAUCCUCUUCCCAGCAACUAUACUCAAGUUGACUGAGACAGCAUUAACAUGAUCCCACAUAAGCCACAGCCUACUUUCUUCAGUCAACUAUAUUAUUGGCUUAUGAGUUUAUAAAAAGGCAAGUGGAAUAAGCACCCUGAAAAGCUGGUACAAAAAACAAACAUGCAGCUGCACAUUUGAUGGGUUUUUUUUUCAUACAAAUCUAAUUUAUUACUCAACAUCUUAAAAGCAAAAAAAAAAAAAAAAACCAACAGAGAAAAUAAGAAUGGGAAUAACAACAGAUGAAGGAUGAAGAGAUUCCUACCACACACAAGUUACAGCUGUAAAGAGUGGGAGGAGUUCUUUCUGCACAAAAACACCACCUUACACACAAAUUUUUAAAAGACUGGCAAUUAUGUCCUCUUAAGUAUUAAAUAAUAGGUUAGAAAGAGGAAACUCAAGUCAAAGAGCAUGUCCUCUUACCAGAAUUCUUUCUCUUGGGGUGUAUUUUCUAAUAUUGCAAAACACCUCAUUAUAUUUUCCUUCUGUAUAAUGAAAACUAUGCAGAGGACAAUGUUUGUCAAGGCAACAUGAAGAAAACACCUGGUGAGAUUUAUGAAGGUGCCUGGUACCUACCUAUUUUAGGUACUUUACUAAAUUUUACAGCUGUUUCUGUCUGACUUCACCAAGAUCACACUAAUGAAAGAGAAGAAUCUAAGUUUUCUGAACACUAGAACCAGACCCAUGCAAAGAACCACUAAUUUUUGUUCAAAAUAUAUUCUCUAUUCCAUUUCUCCUUCAAGAAGCUUAUGUGGCAUUAUGAAUUAGAUAGUUCAGCUCCCUGCCUUCACUCUCAGAAUGCACAUAUAUUAGGUAUUCUUCUUUUUCUGCAAUGCCUCCUUAAAUAAAAAGGGAGAAAAUUAAACAUUAGCUAAAACUGCAUUAAUUAAGAGAAAAGAUUGCAAAAGAAAGGAUAUACCACUUUCCAUCAAAGAGGGCAAGUAAAAUAAAAUUAAAAACAGUAUUUGGAACAGAAGAGAGAAUUUUCCAAACUGUCUAAAAAGGAAGCUGCUGCUGCAGAAGACAAAAUUUUAACUAGAAAUUAGAGAACUGAAAAAUUUCACAAGUUGCUAGAACAUUUACAUCUACAACAUAAAAUAUAGCUACAUAUCAUAAAAAGUGAUUAAUAACCUACACAAGUCAAGUGUUGUUCUUGUCAGCAUAUUCAAAUGUUUUGUUCUCCUUCUCACAACCUUAAGAAUAAAUACUACAGUAUAGCAAGCGUACUGUGACUCCUUUCCUGCUUCUCUUGAGCAUCAAGUGCAGGAGAUAAUGAAGCAUGUCCAUGACAUUCCUACCUUACUUCCCACACUCAGUGCUCAUCUCCCAAGCCUACUCAAAUUUUCAGCAUGUCAUUUCCUUGCAUACCUUGUACAUCUAUAGACUGGAAUAGAUGUCACUUCAGAGACGGUGAUAAUUUAACCAAACACAUGCAACCAUUGUAGAGAUUCCAGAACUCCACUGCUUUAUUUUAAUUAAGAUCAAGCAAGUUAAAUCUACACAAACA